CCUGAUGCAGCUAUGUCGCGUGUAUGAAGAAGACCUUAGGGUUGUAAAGUACUUUCGAUAGCAUAAGAAGAUAAUAAAAUUAAUAAUUUUAUUGUCAGACGUUAGCUAUAGAAGAAGCACCGGCUAACUCCGUGCCAGCAGCCGCGGUAAUACGGGGGGUGCUAGCGUUAAUCGGAAUUACUGGGCGUAAAGAGCAUGUAGGUGGUUUAUUAAGUCAGAUGUGAAAUCCCUAGACUUAAUUUAGGAACUGCAUUUGAAACUAAUAGGCUAGAGUUUCGUAGAGGGAGGUAGAAUUCUAGGUGUAGCGGUGAAAUGCAUAGAUAUCUAGAGGAAUAUCAGUGGCGAAGGCGGCCUCCUGGACGAUAACUGACGCUCAAAUGCGAAAGCAUGGGUAGCAAACAGGAUUAGAUACCCUGGUAGUCCAUGCUGUAAACGAUGUCGACUAAGAGGUUGGAAGCAAGACUUUUAAUCUCUGUAGCUAACGCGUUAAGUCGACCGCCUGGGGAGUACGGUCGCAAGGCUAAAACUCAAAUGAAUUGACGGGGGCCUGCACAAGCGGUGGAGCAUGUGGUUUAAUUCGAUGCAACGCGUAAAACCUUACCUGGUCUUGACAUCCACAAAAUUUUACAGAAAUGUAGAAGUGCAAUUUGAAUUGUGAGACAGGUGCUGCAUGGCUGUCGUCAGCUCGUGUUGUGAAAUGUUGGGUUAAGUCCCGCAACGAGCGCAACCCUUGUUCUUUGUUGCCAUAGAAUUUUAUUUAUUCAGGAACUCAAAGGAGACUGCCAGUGAUAAACUGGAGGAAGGUGGGGACGACGUCAAGUCAUCAUGGCCCUUAUGACCAGGGCUACACACGUGCUACAAUGGCAUAUACAAAGAGAUGCAAUAUUGCAAAAUAAAGCCAAUCUUAUAAAAUAUGUCUUAGUUCGGACUGGAGUCUGCAACUCGACUCCACGAAGUCGGAAUCGCUAGUAAUCGUGGAUCAGCAUGCCACGGUGAAUAUGUUUCCAGGCCUUGUACACACCGCCCGUCACACCAUGGGAGUGGUUUGCAAAAGAAGUAAGAAAAUUAACCUUCUUAACAAGGAAAUAACUUACCACUUUGUGACUCAUAA
rnacentral:rRNA from 1 species